rnacentral:lncRNA from 1 species
GAAGGCAGGUAACUCCUUUAUGGAGUUUGAGCUCACUCCCAGCAGGGAAUAUGAGUUUAACAUUUUUUGUUGUUUUUUUCCUCCUGCUUCUAGAGCGGUAGAAAGCAGUCUUUAGCCUGAGACCCAUCCCUAGAUCCUGAAUUCCAGCUGAAGAGUUGACAUCAACCAGUUUGAAGCCUCCCUUCCCCCCGAAGAGGAACAAAAUCAGCAUGAGAAUACUGUUUCUUCCUCUCCUGUCCCUUGACUUCACCCUGCACUCUUUCCAAUCAUCUCCACACUUCAACCCAUUCCAAAACCCUUAAAAUCCCCAGCCCCCAACUACUCAGGGAGACGGAUUUGAGGAUUCCUCUUGUCUCCUUGAUUGGUGGCCCUAUGGUUAAACCUUUCUCUGCUACAAA